rnacentral:rRNA from 1 species
GACGAACGCUGGCGGCGUGCUUAACACAUGCAAGUCGAACGGAAAGGCCCCGCUUUUGUGGGGUGCUCGAGUGGCGAACGGGUGAGUAACACGUGAGUAACCUGCCCUUGACUUUGGGAUAACUUCAGGAAACUGGGGCUAACACCGGAUAGGAGCUCCUGCUGCAUGGUGGGGGUUGGAAAGUUUCGGCGGUUGGGGAUGGACUCGCGGCUUAUCAGCUUGUUGGUGGGGUAGUGGCUUACCAAGGCUUUGACGGGUAGCCGGCCUGAGAGGGUGACCGGCCACAUUGGGACUGAGAUACGGCCCAGACUCCUACGGGAGGCAGCAGUGGGGAAUAUUGCACAAUGGGCGGAAGCCUGAUGCAGCAACGCCGCGUGCGGGAUGACGGCCUUCGGGUUGUAAACCGCUUUCGCCUGUGACGAAGCGUGAGUGACGGUAAUGGGUAAAGAAGCACCGGCUAACUACGUGCCAGCAGCCGCGGUGAUACGUAGGGUGCGAGCGUUGUCCGGAUUUAUUGGGCGUAAAGGGCUCGUAGGUGGUUGAUCGCGUCGGAAGUGUAAUCUUGGGGCUUAACCCUGAGCGUGCUUUCGAUACGGGUUGACUUGAGGAAGGUAGGGGAGAAUGGAAUUCCUGGUGGAGCGGUGGAAUGCGCAGAUAUCAGGAGGAACACCAGUGGCGAAGGCGGUUCUCUGGGCCUUUCCUGACGCUGAGGGGCGAAAGCGUGGGGAGCGAACAGGCUUAGAUACCCUGGUAGUCCACGCUGUAAACGGUGGGUACUAGGUGUGGGGUCCAUUCCACGGGUUCCGUGCCGUAGCUAACGCUUUAAGUACCCCGCCUGGGGAGUACGGCCGCAAGGCUAAAACUCAAAGGAAUUGGCGGGGCCCCGCACAAGCGGCGGAGCAUGCGGAUUAAUUCGAUGCAACGCGUAGAACCUUACCUGGGUUUGACAUGGAUCGGGAGUGCUCAGAGAUGGGUGUGCCUCUUUUGGGGUCGGUUCACAGGUGGUGCAUGCCUGUCGUCAGCUCGUGUCGUGAGAUGUUGGGUUAAGUCCCGCAACGAGCGCAACCCUUGUUCACUGUUGCCAGCACGUUAUGGUGGGGACUCAGUGGAGACCGCCGGGGUCAACUCGGAGGAAGGUGGGGAUGACGUCAAGUCCUCAUGCCCCUUAUGUCCAGGGCUUCACGCAUGCUACAAUGGCUGGUACAGAGAGUGGCGAGCCUGUGAGGGUGAGCGAAUCUCGGAAAGCCGGUCUCAGUUCGGAUUGGGGUCUGCAACUCGACCUCAUGAAGUCGGAGUCGCUAGUAAUCGCAGAUCAGCAACGCUGCGGUGAAUAAAUUCCCGGGGCU